rnacentral:lncRNA from 1 species
AGGGUUGUUUUCUGACAAGGACCAAUGAGAGUGUGGCCGAAUUCGGCCGAAAACAGCCAAUCCGAGGCGACUCGCCGCCGCCAGCGGCGGCGCCGUCGCCGGAGCACGGCGGAGCCGCCGUGCCGGAGUUGCGAUUUGGGCCGAAAGAGGCCCUGGGCCUAAUUUGGAUUUUUUUUGGAACACGUGCAGGUACUCUUAGUGUGUUUCAGUUUCCCGGGAAAAAUUCAGGGAAAAUUAGGGACGGCCUGCAGGCGCACUGUGAAUCGUAUUCGGAUCUCGAAAACAAGUAAGGACCCCUCACCCUAUUUCCUAUCACGGUAUUAAAGUUCAAAAUGAUAAAACGGUAUUUCUUGAAUUAACGAAUGUGUGAAAUUGCUUAAGGUGGCUAAUGGAGCCCGAGUCUAGUGUGACUGGUGAUUUACUGUUAUUUGGCCUGUUUACAGCUUUAAAUGCAAAAUGAGGUUUGGUGUGUUCAUUUUACAGAUUUGUGUGCAUAUACUACGUUUUUAUCAAUUAUGGUUGAAUGACUGAAAAACUGAUACUGUAUGUUGUCUGUUUGGCAUGAAUUACGAUUUGUUUGUUAAAAUGUGAAUUGAUGAUGCUGACUGAGAAAAAG